CAGUCGCCGCGGUAAUACAGAGGCCUCAAGCGUUGUUCGGAUUCAUUGGGCGUAAAGGGUGCGUAGGUGGCUUGGUAAGUUGAAGGUGAAAUCUCGGGGCUUAACCCCGAAACUGCCUUCAAUACUGCUAGGCUCGAGGACUGUAGAGGAGAAUGGAAUUCACGGUGUAGCAGUGAAAUGCGUAGAUAUCGUGAGGAAGACCAGUGGCGAAGGCGAUUCUCUGGGCAGUUCCUGACACUGAGGCACGAAGGCCAGGGGAGCAAACGGGAUUAGAUACCCGUGUAGUCCCUGUCUCUUAUAA
rnacentral:rRNA from 1 species